rnacentral:sRNA from 1 species
CCUUAGUCAGUGAAAUUUGCCUGACGCUUUGCCUCAGUGUCCGGGUGAGAAUAGGUAAGAGGAAGAGGGAGGCAACUGAGGAGUUACUUUUGCUGAUUAAUGUCGGAAGGCUGAAUUAGAGGUUGUUCUGAACCUACGAGAAACUGUUUUGCUCAAGCUAUGCUUAUCUACUAAUCUGGUUUAUAAUAUCAGUACGAAUAAUAUGUUUGACAAUGUGUGGCAGAGAGGUAUUUGUAAAGGAAAGCAUGCAUAUUUAGUCUGUGGUGAGCAACUAUGAGGCCAUUGUUGUUUUUCUGGUUUAUAUGGUCCAGUACGCAGAAGAAGUUGGGAAGAAUUGCAAUUUGGUAGGGGUUGUGUAGCCGGCUACUGAAGACUGUUUUUCCAUUUGAGGUUGAGGACACAGCAUAUCAUAUCAUAUGCAGUAUAUUAUGUGAAGCCUAUAAGCUUUGCAGUGUUUGUAGUAUCCAAACCUAUGGUUAUGCAAUAUCAGCGGUUACUAAUGUUAUAAAGUUAGGAUGCAUGCAACUUAAUAGAUAGUCUGCGUAAGCUUGUAAGUAGAAAGAUACUGAGGGGUUGAAAAGGGAAUGUCAAGACAAGCUAGAUCUAUAGCUAGAGGUUUGUUUGGUAAUCCUUU